UGCUCUACAAGAAAUAGUGCAGAACACGGC
rnacentral:piRNA from 1 species